UCUUCCAAGCAGGAGCUUUCCCAGGCCAAAGCUGCUGUCCUGUCUAAUAGAACUAGAAGAGAUGGAUUAAGCCAGUAGAAGAACCCUGCAGAUUUCCCCUGCUGACUGGCCCGAGCCACGAGUUUGCCUGCUCUGCCUCUUGAAGUCAGUGCUUGUGGGAAACUUCAAGACAAGCCAAUAUACUGUGCCCAUACACAGGUGAUACUGUUCACUUGAUGUCAUCUUUGUCAUCUCCUGACCCUUGUGAUGAUUUUUGCAAGCAAGUGAGAAAAUGGUGCAAGUCUUUUACCUCUGUGGCCAAAGAACUACCUCCAAAAUGCAGAGAAAGGAGACAGAAUUAGGAGCUUCAUUUCUUGCUGUCAUAAAUAAGGAGGAAACAACAAACUGAGGCAAGGGAGAACCCAAGAACAGCUGCAGUCCCUCUCAGCUGGGUGCUCACCUGGUGAACCAAGUCUGACUCCAACUGGUAGAUAUUCAUGCAGGUUGCAAAUUUGUUCAUGCAGCUCCGUGUGUUGUAUCAGUCUGCCUUUGAGGGCACUUUUGAUGUGCUUCCCACAUACGGAUCGAUUGGUUUGUACCUGCAGCUUUUACUACAGACUGUGUUUUAAGAAGGAACCAACAACCUGCAUGGAAGUCUGCAAAUUUUCAGAGGUUUGUUAAAAUCAUUGACUGAAAGGAUAGAGCUCUUCAAAGGAGAAAUUGAGGCUUUUUAAGUGAAGGUGGCUUCAAUCAGAAACAACAAAGGAGAAAGGAGGAGGGAAAAAACAAACCCAAGCACAAGCAAGCUGAAGAAAAGAG